GACGAACGCUGGCGGCGUGCCUAAUACAUGCAAGUCGAACGCUUCUUUCCUCCCGAGUGCUUGCACUCAAUUGGAAAGAGGAGUGGCGGACGGGUGAGUAACACGUGGGUAACCUACCCAUCAGAGGGGGAUAACACCUGGAAACAGGUGCUAAUACCGCAUAACAGUUUAUGCCGCAUGGCAUAAGAGUGAAAGGCGCUUUCGGGUGUCGCUGAUGGAUGGACCCGCGGUGCAUUAGCUAGUUGGUGAGGUAACGGCUCACCAAGGCCACGAUGCAUAGCCGACCUGAGAGGGUGAUCGGCCACACUGGGACUGAGACACGGCCCAGACUCCUACGGGAGGCAGCAGUAGGGAAUCUUCGGCAAUGGACGAAAGUCUGACCGAGCAACGCCGCGUGAGUGAAGAAGGUUUUCGGAUCGUAAAACUCUGUUGUUAGAGAAGAACAAGGACGUUAGUAACUGAACGUCCCCUGACGGUAUCUAACCAGAAAGCCACGGCUAACUACGUG
rnacentral:rRNA from 1 species